CAGCCGCCGCGGUAAUACGAAGGGUGCAAGCGUUACUCGGAAUUACUGGGCGUAAAGCGUGCGUAGGUGGUGGUUUAAGUCCGUUGUGAAAGCCCUGGGCUCAACCUGGGAAUUGCAGUGGAUACUGGGUCACUAGAGUGUGGUAGAGGAUAGUGGAAUUUCCGGUGUAGCAGUGAAAUGCGUAGAGAUCAGAAGGAACAUCUGUGGCGAAGGCGACUAUCUGGGCCAACACUGACACUGAGGCACGAAAGCGUGGGGAGCAAACAGGAUUAGAUACCCGGGUAGUCCCUGUCUCUUAUAC
rnacentral:rRNA from 1 species